rnacentral:sRNA from 1 species
AGGGUGAUCUGGCUGCGACAUCUGUCACCCCAUUGAUCGCCAGGGUUGAUCCGGCUGAUCUGGCUGGCUAGGCGGGUGUCCCCUUCCUCGCU